rnacentral:rRNA from 2 species
UUGNUGCUUGCAUCAGGAUCUACAUUUGAGUGAGUGGCGAACUGGUGAGUAACACGUGGGAAACCUGCCCAGAAGCGGGGGAUAACACCUGGAAACAGAUGCUAAUACCGCAUAACAACUUGGACCGCAUGGUCCGAGUUUGAAAGAUGGCUUCGGCUAUCACUUUUGGAUGGUCCCGCGGCGUAUUAGCUAGAUGGUGGGGUAACGGCUCACCAUGGCAAUGAUACGUAGCCGACCUGAGAGGGUAAUCGGCCACAUUGGGACUGAGACACGGCCCAAACUCCUACGGGAGGCAGCAGUAGGGAAUCUUCCACAAUGGACGAAAGUCUGAUGGAGCAACGCCGCGUGAGUGAAGAAGGGUUUCGGCUCGUAAAACUCUGUUGUUAAAGAAGAACAUAUCUGAGAGUAACUGUUCAGGUAUUGACGGUAUUUAACCAGAAAGCCACGGCUAACUACGUGCCAGCAGCCGCGGUAAUACGUAGGUGGCAAGCGUUGUCCGGAUUUAUUGGGCGUAAAGCGAGCGCAGGCGGUUUUUUAAGUCUGAUGUGAAAGCCUUCGGCUCAACCGAAGAAGUGCAUCGGAAACUGGGAAACUUGAGUGCAGAAGAGGACAGUGGAACUCCAUGUGUAGCGGUGAAAUGCGUAGAUAUAUGGAAGAACACCAGUGGCGAAGGCGGCUGUCUGGUCUG